CCCUUUGAUACUCUGGGCGGCACGCGCGCUACACUGGUUUAUAUAACGUGUAAUUUGGACGAUAGUCUGUAUAAAUCACUAAUAUAAAACCGUGAAUGGGAUAGUUUAUUGCAACUUACAAACUUUAACUAGGAAUCCCUUGUAGAAGUAGUGAAUUAUACUGCUUCGAAUACGUCCCUGCCGAUUGUACACACCGCCCGUCGUUUCUUCCGACUGGUGCUCAUUGUGAAUUGCGAGGAGAUUCUGUCAAAUCGUUGUAAAUGCUGGGUAUUGGAGGAAGAAAAAGUCGUAACA
rnacentral:rRNA from 1 species